AACGUAGGACACAAGCGUUAUCCGGAGUUACUGGGCGUAAAGGGCGUGUAGGCGGACCUAUAAGUCCAUUCUGAAAGCUCCUGGCUAAACUGGGAGAGGCGAAUGGAGACUGUAGAUCUAGAGUGAGGAAGAGGAAAGUGGAAUUCCGCGUGUAGUGGUGAAAUGCGUAGAGAUGCGGAGGAACACCAGUGGCGAAAGCGACUUUCUGGUCCUUAACUGACGCUGAGGCGCGAAAAGCAUGGGGAGCGAACGGG
rnacentral:rRNA from 1 species